ACAACGAAGAGUUUGAUCCUGGCUCAGGAUGAACGCUAGCGACAGGCUUAACACAUGCAAGUCGAGGGGCAGCGGGGGUAGCGAUACCCGCCGGCGACCGGCGCACGGGUGAGUAACGCGUAUGCAACUUGCCUAUCAGAGGGGGAUAACCCGGCGAAAGUCGGACUAAUACCGCAUGAAGCAGGGGCCCCGCAUGGGGGUAUUUGCUAAAGAUUCAUCGCUGAUAGAUAGGCAUGCGUUCCAUUAGGCAGUUGGCGGGGUAACGGCCCACCAAACCGACGAUGGAUAGGGGUUCUGAGAGGAAGGUCCCCCACAUUGGUACUGAGACACGGACCAAACUCCUACGGGAGGCAGCAGUGAGGAAUAUUGGUCAAUGGCCGAGAGGCUGAACCAGCCAAGUCGCGUGAGGGAUGAAGGUUCUAUGGAUCGUAAACCUCUUUUAUAAGGGAAUAAAGUGCGGGACGUGUCCCGUUUUGUAUGUACCUUAUGAAUAAGGAUCGGCUAACUCCGUGCCAGCAGCCGCGGUAAUACGGAGGAUCCGAGCGUUAUCCGGAUUUAUUGGGUUUAAAGGGUGCGUAGGCGGCCUUUUAAGUCAGCGGUGAAAGUCUGUGGCUCAACCAUAGAAUUGCCGUUGAAACUGGGGGGCUUGAGUAUGUUUGAGGCAGGCGGAAUGCGUGGUGUAGCGGUGAAAUGCUUAGAUAUCACGCAGAACCCCGAUUGCGAAGGCAGCCUGCCAAGCCAUGACUGACGCUGAUGCACGAAAGCGUGGGGAUCAAACAGGAUUAGAUACCCUGGUAGUCCACGCAGUAAACGAUGAUCACUAGCUGUUUGCGAUACAUUGUAAGCGGCACAGCGAAAGCGUUAAGUGAUCCACCUGGGGAGUACGCCGGCAACGGUGAAACUCAAAGGAAUUGACGGGGGCCCGCACAAGCGGAGGAACAUGUGGUUUAAUUCGAUGAUACGCGAGGAACCUUACCCGGGUUUGAACGCAUUCGGACCGAGGUGGAAACACCUUUUCUAGCAAUAGCCGUUUGCGAGGUGCUGCAUGGUUGUCGUCAGCUCGUGCCGUGAGGUGUCGGCUUAAGUGCCAUAACGAGCGCAACCCUUGCCACUAGUUACUAACAGGUAAAGCUGAGGACUCUGGUGGGACUGCCAGCGUAAGCUGCGAGGAAGGCGGGGAUGACGUCAAAUCAGCACGGCCCUUACAUCCGGGGCGACACACGUGUUACAAUGGCGUGGACAAAGGGAAGCCACCUGGCGACAGGGAGCGAAUCCCCAAACCACGUCUCAGUUCGGAUCGGAGUCUGCAACCCGACUCCGUGAAGCUGGAUUCGCUAGUAAUCGCGCAUCAGCCAUGGCGCGGUGAAUACGUUCCCGGGCCUUGUACACACCGCCCGUCAAGCCAUGGGAGCCGGGGGUACCUGAAGUCCGUAACCGCGAGGAUCGGCCUAGGGUAAAACUGGUGACUGGGGCUAAGUCGUAACAAGGUAGCCGUACCGGAAGGUGCGGCUGGAACACCUCCUUU
rnacentral:rRNA from 1 species